UACGUAGGCAGCAAGCGUUGUUCGGAGUUACUGGGCGUAAAGGGUGCGUAGGCGGCUUUUUAAGUUUGGUGUUAAAUCUCCCGGCUCAACUGGGAGGGUGCGCCGAAUACUGAGAGGCUAGAGUGUGGGAGAGGAAAGUGGAAUUCCUGGUGUAGCGGUGAAAUGCGUAGAUAUCAGGAGGAACACCGGUGGUGUAAACGGCUUUCUGGACCAUAACUGACGCUGAGGCACGAAAGCGUGGGUAGCAAACAGG
rnacentral:rRNA from 1 species